rnacentral:rRNA from 1 species
UACGGAGGGGGCCAGCGUUGUUCGGAAUCAUUGGGCGUAAAGGGCGCGUAGGCGGCCACGCAAGUCGGAUGUGAAAUCCCUCGGCUCAACCGAGGAACUGCAUCCGAAACUGCGAGGCUAGAGUCCUGGAGAGGGUAGUGGAAUUCCCAGUGUAGCGGUGAAAUGCGUAGAUACUGGGAGGAACACCAGUGGCGAAGGCGGCUACCUGGACAGGUACUGACGCUGAUGCGCGAAAGCCAGGGGAGCAAACAGG